rnacentral:lncRNA from 1 species
UCCGAGGACAUCUGGCCAGUCAGAACUUCCCCUCCCUCUUCGAGGUGGGGAGAAGAAGAAAGCGGAGGGAGGGCGUCUAUAAAGUGGCAGCUCAUUGGUCUGUAGCGUCGAGCAGAAGCGCAGCGGGGAGGAGGGGUGCUCCGAAGGGAGAAGGAGGGUGCAGGAGCCCGUGGAGGUAGCCAAUGGGUGCUUACUGCCGUGCAAUCGCAAGACCUAGCUGCAGUGGGAUUGGCCUCGGGUAGUCCCUGGAGCGGGCGGACGGGUUGACUGGCCGGCCCGCAUCUGCUUUCCGACAGGACGCUCGUGCUGUCUGUGCAGCUGGUCUGAAAGUGCUGCGGUCGGCGGGCUGCACUCGGGCGCUCUAGCGGGGCGAGGGGCCGUCCCCAUCCCCCGAUGCUCGACGGGGCGCGGCCGACAGAGUGUUCCCUAGGCUCUCUGCGCGUGCUGAGCAUCUGAAAACCUCUUUCCCCCGGAAGGCUUAGGGCCCCCGUGGCUGGGGUCGAACCCUCUGGCGCUCAAAUGGGAACAAAGCUUCCAGAGAGGCAGCGCCUCUGUGCAGCCGCGCCCGCCCAUAGCGGGGGGCUACUGCCAGCAUGGGCCCUUUGCGCCAGGCGCAUGCAGCCAGGCCCGGCCUUCUGGAAACGCCCCCGAGAGAUGAGCUCAUGCUAGAUGCGCGCGCUCCUUGGGCGCGACUGCCCGGCUCAAAAGCAACCCCGAAAACAGAGGUCCUGUUGCUACCUGCCCAGUCCUUUUUCUUAAGGUCAGUCCUAUGGAAUUCUUCCUAGAUUGAAUGUUAGAUAAGAUCCCUUAGACUUCAACAUAACCUGCCUUCUGCUGGAAUCACCAGGAGGUCUAGUGACUUUCUGUGUGUUUUCUCCAUCAGCUCUUACUCCUCUGAGGAGCCUAACCUCUGGGAACCACUAACCUCCUGCCCCAGCCUCCACCACUCAAAGGCUGGUAGGUUGCCAGUCUUCUUUAAUUUUGUUUUGUUUUUGUUUUUCAAGACAGGGUUUCACUGUGUAGCUCGGGGUGCCCUGAAACUCUUUGUAGACUAGGCUGGCCUUAAACUCAGAGAGAUCCACCUGCCUCCACUUCCCCAGUGCUGGAAUUAAAAGCAUGCACCACCACCGCCUGUCAAGGUUGCCAGUCUUGAAGUGAUGACUUGAGUUCAAAAUUCAUGUAGCUCAUUUCUUUCUUUUCACAGGUUAAUAAACUGAGGAGCCCUUGGAGAAAAUGACCUGGU